GAGCACAGCCGGCGGCCGCACCCCGCCGCCACGAUGAGGGCCGAGGGCCUCGGCGGCCUGGAGCGCUUCUGCAGCCCAGGCAAGGGCCGGGGGCUGCGGGCUCUGCAGCCCUUCCAGGUGGGGGACUUGCUGUUCUCCUGCCCGGCCUAUGCCUACGUGCUCACGGUCAACGAGCGGGGCAACCACUGCGAGUACUGCUUCGCCAGAAAGAAGAUUGGCCCAUGCACAAGCUGGAAUGUUCUCCCAUGGUUGUUUUUGGGGAAAACUGGAAUCCCUCAGAGACUGUAAGACUAACAGCAAGGAUUCUGGCCAAACAGAAGAUCCACCCAGAGAGAACACCUUCAGAAAAAUUGUUAGCUGUGAAGGAGUUUGAAUCACAUCUGGAUAAGUUAGACAAUGAGAAGAAGGAUUUGAUUCAGAGUGACAUAGCUGCCCUCCAUCACUUUUACUCCAAGCAUCUCGAAUUCCCUGACAAUGAUAGCCUCAUAGUACUCUUUGCACAGGUUAACUGUAAUGGCUUCACAAUUGAAGAUGAAGAACUUUCUCAUUUGGGAUCAGCGAUAUUUCCUGACGUUGCAUUGAUGAAUCAUAGCUGUUGCCCCAAUGUCAUUGUGACCUACAAAGGGACCCUGGCAGAAGUCAGAGCUGUACAGGAAAUCGAGCCGGGAGAGGAGGUUUUUACCAGCUAUAUUGAUCUCCUGUACCCAACGGAAGAUAGAAAUGACAGGUUAAGAGAUUCUUAUUUCUUUACCUGUGAGUGCCAGGAGUGCACCACCAAGGACAAGGAUAAGGCCAAGGUGGAAAUCCGGAAGCUCAGCGAUCCCCCAAAGGCAGAAGUCAUCCGAGACAUGGUCAGAUAUGCACGCAACGUCAUUGAAGAGUUCCGGAGGGCCAAGCACUAUAAAUCCCCUAGUGAGCUGCUGGAGAUCUGCGAGCUCAGCCAGGAGAAGAUGAGCUCCGUGUUUGAGGACAGUAAUGUGUACAUGUUGCACAUGAUGUACCAGGCCAUGGGUGUCUGUUUGUACAUGCAGGACUGGGAAGGAGCCCUGCAAUACGGACAGAAAAUCAUUAAGCCCUACAGUAAGCACUAUCCUUUGUACUCCCUCAACGUGGCCUCCAUGUGGUUGAAGCUAGGGAGACUCUACAUGGGCCUGGAACACAAAGCCGCAGGGGAGAAAGCCCUGAAGAAGGCCAUUGCAAUCAUGGAAGUAGCUCACGGCAAAGAUCAUCCAUAUAUUUCUGAGAUCAAACAGGAAAUUGAAAGCCACUGAAGCUAUGCAGCAUUUCAGUUUUCAUUUAAACACUUAGUUCAGAAACCUUAAAGGAUUUGAAUAUUCCAAAUUGCACACAUCACUCCAGCAUCUCUGUAAAAUAAUUGGAAUGAAAAUACUUCUUGCACUUAAACAUUGCACAUGCCAUACUUUGAGGUUAGUCUGAAUCUUGAACUUUACUCCCAAAUUAAUUUUGAAUGCUUUUGUUUCCUAAGAGAUAAUGGCAUGGUUUCAUAUGUUAUACUUUGGACAGACAGAGUUUUAAAAAUGGAAUUAUUUUUUCUUUCAUGCCUCUUGUAAUGUUCUGAACAAACUUGAAUGAUGAAAGAAAAUAAAAGAGAUAUCAAUCAGUA
rnacentral:sRNA from 1 species